rnacentral:rRNA from 1 species
GAUGAACGCUGGCGGCGUGCCUAAUACAUGCAAGUCGAGCGAACAGACGAGGAGCUUGCUCCUCUGACGUUAGCGGCGGACGGGUGAGUAACACGUGGAUAACCUACCUAUAAGACUGGGAUAACUUCGGGAAACCGGAGCUAAUACCGGAUACUAUAUUGAACCGCAUGGUUCAAUAGUGAAAGACGGUUUUGCUGUCACUUAUAGAUGGAUCCGCGCCGCAUUAGCUAGUUGGUAAGGUAACGGCUUACCAAGGCAACGAUGCGUAGCCGACCUGAGAGGGUGAUCGGCCACACUGGAACUGAGACACGGUCCAGACUCCUACGGGAGGCAGCAGUAGGGAAUCUUCCGCAAUGGGCGAAAGCCUGACGGAGCAACGCCGCGUGAGUGAUGAAGGUCUUCGGAUCGUAAAACUCUGUUAUUAGGGAAGAACAAAUGUGUAAGUAACUAUGCACGUCUUGACGGUACCUAAUCAGAAAGCCACGGCUAACUACGUG